UACGUAGGGUGCGAGCGUUAAUCGGAAUUACUGGGCGUAAAGCGUGCGCAGGCGGUUAUUUAAGUCAGGUGUGAAAGCCCUGGCUUAACCUAGGAAUUGCGCUUGAGACUGGAUAGCUUGGAGUGCGGCAGAGGAGGUGGAAUUCCACGUGUAGCAGUGAAAUGCGUAGAGAUGUGGAGGAACACCGAUGGACGAAGGCAGCCUCCGUGGGCCAGCACUGACGCUCAUGACACGAAAGCGUGGGAGCAAACAGG
rnacentral:rRNA from 1 species